rnacentral:rRNA from 1 species
UAUGUGAUCGUCUCUCGCAUAUCAAUAAGCGGAGGAAAAGAAACUAACAAGGAUUCCCCUAGUAACGGCGAGUGAAGCGGGAAGAGCUCAAAUUUGAAAUCUUAAAGGGUUUCCCUUUACGAAUUGUAGUUUAAAGAAGUGUUUUCUGUUGAGGUUUUGGUAAAAGUUCUUUGGAAUAGGACAUCAUAGAGGGUGAGAAUCCCGUAUUUGACCUUUACUUUCAACUUUGUGAUACACUUUCAAAGAGUCGGAUUGUUUGGGAAUGCAGUCCAAAAUGGGUGGUAAAUUUCAUCUAAAGCUAAAUAUAGGCGAGAGACCGAUAGCGAACAAGUACCGUGAGGGAAAGAUGAAAAGAACUUUAAAAGAGAGUUAAACAGUACGUGAAAUUGUCAAAAGGGAAGCGUUUGACACCAGUGUUGUUUUUCUGAAAAUCAAUUAAAGAACUGUUCAUGCUAAGCUGUUUAGACUUUAUCAGCUAACUGUUUAGUUUUGAGCUUUUCUUUAAUGCACUUUUCAGUUAACAAGUCAACAUCAAUUUCUUUUGCUGUAAAAAAGCUCGAGGAAGGUGGCUUGAGAUUCGUCUUAAGUGUUUAUAGCCUCUUGCCUAUGCAGUCGGAGAGAUUGAGGUCUGCAGCGUAGAUCCUUCGGGGCUAAAUGCAUUUGUGCUAAGUUAUAGCAUUUUAUAGACAACUUGUUGACUAUGAUUUGUCUUGUAGCUUACUCGCUUAUGUUAUUUUACCUACGCUUAGGAUGUUGAUCUACAGAGCGAGAGU